CAUUGUACUUUGUUACUACGAUAUACCAAGGUGAGGAUUACAUCUUUUUACCACCAUAGCGUAGGCAUUAAUGAAGUUUGAUCGUAGAUAGAAUCAAUAGCCAGCAUUAUAGAUUUUCCAAACGACAGGCAGACUGUGGUUGUAUCUAUUGGCUAUUGCCGUCUUGACGCUUCAAGUCUACACGUACGGAACUGUAUCUAUCUAGAUGUAUUUUGAAAGGAGAUAUUAUGUCUUAGUAGAAUUACAGUAUUUUUAUGGAUUGAUCAAAGACUUGAAUAUGGAUAAUAAAUUUGGACGAUCAUUGAUACUGCUCAUCGGCCAAUCAUUGAUAGAGCCGUUUAUGUCCAAAAAUAUUAGUGAGUCAUUCAGUCAACUUCAAUAGUGUGGUUUAGCAUCCACGGAUUAGGCAUGUUUUUAGCAUGACAGUGUGCUCUUGAUAAUUAAUAUGAUGCUAGGGUGUGGAGCUCUCCACACAUGACUCGCCAUGACAAGAGGUCUGAUUAGCUAUGAUGGUUUAGCUGGACGAUUCCAUUGCUGCGGCUCCUGCAGCCUCUGCUGCUACUCGGCGUAGCUCCUAUGCUUAGCAGGAGGGAGUAUGUAUGGAUAUACACAUGCAUGCAAGAUCUUCUUUGUGCGGAGGAGGGAGUAUGUAUGGAUAUACACAUGGAUGCAAGAUCUUCUUUGUGCCGUGGAACGCUAGGUGAAAUUUUCCUAGACAGAGAUGAAAAAAGCCAGUGUAUGGAACAUGACCAUAGCUCCCAGCUCCUAAGCGCUAGGCCCGUGGGUAUAGCGUCCGAGCCUCAGCCGCUACACAACCGUGUGUGGGCCCUGAGUUGGCCUUGCGGAGAGACGCUGAGUUAUGGAGGAUAACGCCAUGCUGUCGGGCGCUGAACAAAAAGUUUAGAUCCGUGAAAUAGUUUUGCGUCUAGUUCAUUUUGUAAAAUAGUUUUGGUUCGAGGUCCGUUUCGUCAAAAUCGACACGGCUGCAAUGGGGUCUCAGGUGCAGAGCAAAAACUGGCGAUUCCUGUGCUGGUGUAUGGGCGUAUGGCCCUGAACCGCGCAACGUCGGCGUUUCCUGUGUCGCCUACGGUCCCUGGGCGCGCAACGUCGACGCGGGAGCAGCCUCUCGCUCUGCCCCUGCGUCUCGCUGCAACCGACAAGCAGCUCCACUGUCGUUUGAUCGAGAUCAGGUUGUACUCAUUCCUUCUAGCCCCUGGAAAGUGCAAGGCCGUGGACUGUGGUACUACUGAUGGAAAAACGUUUCUCACUCCAUGAAUCUGAUGGAGUGAGGCAGCAGAAGCUGAGCUCUGUCUCCAAUGGGGAAGAGGAUGGAGAAAAUGCAGAGAGCGGUGGAGCAGCAGAAGGGGAAGCUCUACAUCAUCAUGGCCUGCGUCGCCCUGCUCGUCUGCGGCUGCAAACCUCAUGUGAAAGAUGAUGCACUGGAACAUUUGGAGCUUAAACUGAUCUAGGAACAAUGCGGUAACUGUAGCUCGGAUCCAGGGCUUAGGAUGUAGCAUAAAAAACGCCACCGUUUCCACUGAUGUGGAAUGCCAACACUGGCUCUGAAACCUUAAGCACUUAUUAAUCGAGUUAGCAUGGUUUAAUAAUACAAUAGAUGCAUACAUCAAUUUUGUCCAAUGGAGGAUUCGUCGAACCAUACGUCAUCUUCAAACUUCUAUGACAUGGUUGCAGGUGUGAGGCGGCGGCCGGGAUAAAAAAUAUACUGUAGCUUACUAGAAAAGAGAGCCAGCACUCGUGAUUCCCCAACAUGGAUGAUACAAAGCGAGCCUACUACUUUAUCUGGUGAAAAUGAAAAAUAUCAUUUUGGGGAUGGCAGCAGAUUGAUCCGUGUCCAGCUCCUGUCCGAUCACUUCCGGCUCGUUUGGUACCCAUCAUUUGGGUAUAGAAUUGUAGGAUUCAUUUUGAAUUUCAAAAAACAACUUGUUCGGUUGGUACGGAAUUAGCCACAUGAAUUCAAUCUCAAAUUUCAUGAAAUCACACUAUAAUUAGCCUCAAUUCCUCUCUAAAAGCCAUCAUUUCUCUGGAAUUGUCUCUCACUCUUCAAUUCCAUGUGGUAGACAAACAUGAUUUUUCAACCCGGAAUUCAAAUUCAACCAAAUAAAAUCCUAUCAAAAAUUGAAUUUCAUUUCAUUUUGAUCAAAUGAAAUGAAUUCUUGGUUGCCAAACGAGCUGUUAUGUAUACUAGUACAGUGUCCAGUACAGUAGUACUGCCUAAAAAGUUUUGAUCAGUACAUCUGUGUAUAGGGCAGGCAUGUGAAUAUGGCCUACGUGUAAACUCUUGUAGGCAUGUAAAAUUAUAAGUUAAUGCAAACUGUACCAUUUUUCUGUUUAUUCUAGUAAUGUAAAAUGUGAUUCUUGCAUCGAGAUUCUCCUUAGAACUAUAGAUUCAGAUUACAUCUGGGUCUCUCAUGUUGUUAGUGGGUUCCCAGACAGGUUUUCAAACAUUGGGUGAGACAAUUACCGUGUUUUAAAUAGCCAUUGGGUUUAAAUUGGAUGGGUCAAAUACACUGAUCAUUUCUUUUUCUUAUUUUUAAUAUAAUAUCUACUACUCCUUUGGAGAUCUACUAUUAGAGUACCCCAUCCAAUAACCCGGCAGAGUUUGCGACUAUUCUCAGACCGGGUGAGCAUCGGCUUCAUUGGUUAGUACUCUCUCCGUUUCUAAUACAAAAUCUUCGUAAUUUUGAUCAAGUUUAUAAAAAAUCUAUCAACAUCUACGAUUCAAGGUAUUGGUAUAUUUUUGUAUAAAGUUGAUCAAAUUUUAAUAUUUUAAUUAGAAAAAAAUGAGAGAAAUUUAUGACAAAGAUGAUAUGACUUCUCACUUAUAUUUAAGAAGGAGCUCAGAUUUUUCUUUUUUGAGAAUAGGCUCAGAAAAAAUUGUGCAGCCAAACAGGCCGAGUUCUUGAGGCCCACUUACUCCUACAACAGAAGGCCCAUGUACUGUCUUUGAUAGAGUUUUUUUAGCCAAAAAGGCCCGUAUUACUAGCGAUGAUUUUUCCUUAAAACAAAAAUCUAGGGUCCUCUCAAAAAAAAAAUCUAGGGAGGAAUCGGUGCUGCCGCCGCGGCCGCCUACACCUCCGGGGAUCACCGCCGCCGCACACCUGCGCCCAUUCUACGCCGCCCCGCCGCUAACGGCGCCGCUGCCCGAAAGGCUCCAUCCUCGCUCCUUCGAAGCAGGCCUCACGCGCAAUCGCGACAAGCGCAGGCCGCGCGCUCCAUGUACCGCCCCACUGUCAGGCCGAUACAAGCCUUCUCCAGAAAUUUCUCCUGGGUCGGAAUCAAGCUCACCCCCUCAGCCAGCUCCUACGCGGCUACGCCGGUAACCUCCGUGAGCUCCUAGAGACCUAGAGGUCUUAUGUGACGAGCGGGGCCUUAACCCCGCACCGAAGCAGCACAGACGAAGCGGGCUGGUGGGCUUCCUGACCACGCUGUCGUCUGCACGCGAUUGCUGUUCCAUCCGAGUACUCGCCUUCAUGCGCUGGCAGCUGCAGUGAUUGAUAGCGGCGCUGGUACUGGGGAUUUCGGGGUCAGGAGGAAGAGACUCGCGGUGUUCAUGUCCAGAGGGGGGUUGAACUUCCGGUCGAUCCAGGAGGAUGCUCUGGGUGGAAAGGUGAAUGGGGAUGUGGUUGUGCUCAUCACGGAUAAGCCAGGUGAUCAUAUAUGAUUGCUUCAUGCAGCUGUUUGGACUGGGAUGUGCGGUGGAGCGGAAUAGCAAGGUGCAACGACACAACGGUGAUUGUUUUUCCGAAGUCGAAAUCAGCGUCAGAGGGGGUGUCCAUGGCUGAGCUCUCGAAAUGUUCUGAGGUUGGUUCUGAUGAUUCAUCUCAAGGCCAUGGUGUUCAUUUUGUAGUUUUAUGUUCAUUUUGCAGAGACAAAUUUCAUCAUUUUGCAGAGAAAACAAUCAUUAAUGUACAGACAUAGCUUGUGAGUUUUUAUUGAUAAUUGCCUUCCUCUACAUCA